ensembl:lncRNA
GUCUACUUCUGAUAAGCUUCCCAGUAAACAAUCAAGCAACCCAGAAAAGUGCUAAAAAUAGCCCAUAUUAACAUAUGUAGCCUAAGAAACAAGGUCCAUGAAGUCUUGUAACAGAUGACAUUCCUAUUCUGACUAUCUCUGAAAUUCACUUGGAUAAUACCUUUAUGAUACAGUGGUAGUGUAACAGUUUAACUUUAGUCCGUCCCCUCGCCCCUACCCGGGCUCGAACCAGGGACCCUCUACACACAUAGACAACUGACACCCACGAAGCAUCGUUACCCAUCGCUCCACAAAAGCCGCGGCCCUUGCAGAGCAAGGGGAACAACUACUUCAGGUCUCAGAGCGAAUUUAAGAGAAGAAAUCAGUACUGCCCUGCCCACUUCACUGUUGAGAUCAACAAGGCCUAUGGUGUCAUCACUACCGUGUCUCGCCACCUUGGCCUGGAUGAGGACAAGGUUCUUGGCAGUCUGGCGAAGUACACUUCCAAGCAAGGGCUUUGGGAUGGAAAUGCAAUAUAGCAGUCGUGCCAACAUAUCUCAUCAGCCACCUGGUGGAAGGGACUUUGUGGAUCUGAGGCUCUUUCCCCUGUUGCAUCCAUCAUCCUCCAAAUCCCACCAACAUCAGCCGCCUCAGAGCGCAACUGGUCCUUGUUUGGGAACAAACACACCAAAGGACGCAACAGGCUGACAAAUACAAGGGUUGAAGAAUUGGUGGCCAUCUGGGCAAAUUUGUGGCUUUUUGAGCCUGACAACGAGACAUCCUCAACAAGGUGGAAAGUGACAGUGAAGAUGAGGCCUUAGUCUGAUGUUCACGAGGUGGACAUUGAGGAGGUCCAGGGAGAAGACAUGGAAGACUGAGAGGAAGACAGACUAUCAUUUUACAGAUGUAUGUUGAAAACAUUUUUGGGAGAUGCGAUGGAUCAAUAUUCCUAUAUUCUUUUGCAGUUCAGUGAAAUCAUCCCAUGUGAAGAGUCAACUCAUUUAAUUAAAGUUAAAUUCGUAACUAAAUAGUUUUAAAAAAAUUAUAUUGGAAGGAUUUAAUCAUUUGCAAUUAUGUCUACUAUGAUAAGGUAAAGGGUUUAUGUUUCUGUCUCCAUAUGAUAUGGUAAAUAUAUCCAAUGCAAAAAACUUCUACAUUUAAAUGGUAUUAAUAUUCAUUUGCAUAUAUUUCC